AAGGAAGGACUCCCUGGAGAAGAAUGCUGGGAAUGAUGGAGGGCAAAAGAAGAAGAAGGGGACGGCAGAAAACGAGGUGGCUGGAAUGGUGAAGAAGAUUGCUGCCGAAUAUUACGACAACCAUCCCUAUCACAAGUCCUGGGGGAUCGUUCUUUGGGAUUUCAUUUUGAGUGAGAGGCUGGGCCCUUUCAGCCACCUGAAGAGAACCUACAAGGAGGAGGAAGAGGAGACACAAUGAGGGUUCCUCUUCCCUCUUCAAGGGGCUCUCCUUCCUCCCCAGAUGCAAGUCCAGGAACCAGGAUCAGAUAAUGGCCUUCAUCAAAACUGCCCCAACAAAAUUCUUUGGGAAAAAGUUACCGAAAACCCAGAGAUACCCAGGCUGGUGAGAUGAUAUCCAGAACCUUCACAUUUAGGAGUCUUGCUGUAGAACUUCACCUGAAAGCCUACAGAAAUGCUGAUGGAUCAGGGUCAGCUUGGACCAAGGUUGUGACUCAAUGCCUUGAGUCACACCCUUGGUCCAAGUUGACCCUGAUCCACAGCAUCGUGAAGUUCUCCCAACCAAAGCUUUUGCAUGUAGAACAGGUGGUCAGCAGUCCAGCUGCAGCCCGUUCGCAAGGCUCCAUUUCUCUUGUGGGCCUUUGCCUGCUGCUGAUCUGAACUUCUCUCCACCCAUUGCUGAAUCCACAGAAGUUGCUGUCUCCCAUGGCCAAGCCUUCUUCUGCCUCCCUGUUCCUCAGCCCUUCCUGUGUGACCCUUUGCAGACUCUGAGUCAUCUGAUUGAAGGCAUCUUUAGGGGUACCUGCGACUUUGCUAUUGAUAUUAAAAGUAUCUUGAGCAUUGAAAA